rnacentral:rRNA from 1 species
AUUGAACGCUGGCGGCAUGCCUUACACAUGCAAGUCGAACGGCAGCACGGGUGCUUGCACCUGGUGGCGAGUGGCGAACGGGUGAGUAAUACAUCGGAACGUACCUUAUCGUGGGGGAUAACGCAGCGAAAGCUGUGCUAAUACCGCAUACGCCCUGAGGGGGAAAGCGGGGGAUCGAAAGACCUCGCGCGAUUAGAGCGGCCGAUGCCUGAUUAGCUUGUUGGUGGGGGAAAAGCCCACCAAGGCGACGAUCAGUAGCUGGUCUGAGAGGACGAUCAGCCACACUGGGACUGAGACACGGCCCAGACGCCUACGGGAGGCAGCAGUGGGGAAUUGUGGACAAUGGGGGCAACCCUGAUCCAGCAAUGCCGCGUGAGUGAAGAAGGCAUUCGGGUUGUAAAGCUCUUUUGUCAGAGAAGAAACACCGGCUCUAACACAGUCCGGGAAUGACGGUACCUGAAGAAUAAGCACCGGCUAACUACGUGCCAGCAGCCGCAGUAA